AGAUGGUGAAGAACCAGACAAUCCUCCAUCCUGCAGGAGCUAACCUUGGCAAAGCAGACACGAGGAAUCAGUCCAAGGUCUUCGCCUAUGAUUACUGUUUCUGGUCU